CAUCAUAGGUGGUGCAGGUGCGAUGACUCAUACAUACGCAAUGUAUUGUAAGCAAGUUGAAGUGUGAAAAUGAAAAUGAAAAUGUAUUCAUUCGUUUCUGCGGUGAAUUUGUAGCUAAUUAUUAAAUAUUUUCGUGCCAGUUUUAAAUUAUGCGAGUCCAAUUCGCUCAUUAUGUUUUACUUUUUACCUCUUUGUUCCGGAUUCCGCGCCACGGCGUUACUUGGUUGAAACUUCAUGCAGAAUUGAUGACUAUUGAAAAUCGAAUUGACACGAGUAGGAGUAUUUCAAAUGUCACCAAAUUCGUUCGAGUGUGUACAAAAAGAAUUCCAUUUGCAGUUGAUCGCAAUCGUCUCUACGCUGCUGUCAAAUGAACAUCGUUUGGUGCAGUUUAUGUCUUCAGCAGUGUUUCCAUCGUCGCUUCGUUUACAACGUGUGCUCGAGUCACACAGAGACGAAUAUUGUGCAGCGAUCUCGGAAAUCGUGAUUUUAGUGAAGUUACGUUUGUUGUUGGACUUUGUGCGACGCGUACGUGGCCACGAUUGCUGGACCAUCGCUCCAGAGGCUGUCUUCAACAUCUCCAUCGCCGUUACGAGUCUGCGCUGCUGUUAGAUGAACAACGUUUGAUGCUGUUUUUGUCCGAUCUUCAAUGGCUCAUUCGCAUCAUCGCUUCGUAUGCAACACCUAUCUCGUCGCGAUCAUUCUCAUUAUUCUCUUCGCGCAUAAUUUUCAAAUUCUCUCGUCUGUCUAUUGCUUGAUGAAAAAUCGCCCAGUUAUAUUUUUCUGUACGAGUUGAAAAAAUUUAUCGGAGGGAGAUGAUUAGCAUAGAUUGUUUAGUCGAGAUUCGAGGCGAUGUUUCUGUUUGAAUUCGAGUUCUGACUGGCAUUUUUGAUAAAACUUUCUCCGCCCUUCCCCCGUCCAAUUUUCUUUUCAGGAUUUAACGAUGAAUUAUCAAAUUGAUAAUAUUAUUCAUUAUUUUUAGUAUUAUUGAUAUAUGUUUGAAAUGUCUUAUAAUAAGUUGGUAAUUUUGACGCCCCCCUCCCACUGGUCUGACAAAUUGCUCGUUUCGCGUGUAACUAGUGUUUUUGUUUUCUCAAUAUUUAAUCGAAAUUCAAUUUUUGUUCGUGAUUUGAUCGCACGUAUUAUUCGCUCGCGGCCAUUAACCUAAGUCGUUGGUUUUUUAAAACUCGAUGAUUCGUUCAAUUUGCGUUUUUGUUUUUCUCUAAAUUUCGUCGUGGAAAUUCAAUUUUUUGUUUUUGGCCAUUUCAGGCUGCAAGUUUAAUUACAAUCUGACAUCGUACCAGUAGCAGAUCAAAAACUUUUCUUUCGAGUGUGUUAUGUCGGCAACUUGGCAUGUAGCGCUGAUGGUGAGUGUAUUUGCGUGCAGAUUAGGUAUAGGUAAUUGUUUUGAGGUUAGGAUGUUUGCAGGUAAUGUGCGGGUGGUGAGUGUUUUAUAUGUAUAGGGGAUGCGGUUGUGGCUGGUCUUGUUAAGUGCUGUCCGUCCUCGUCUGUUACGCAUCAACCCACAACCGUACUUUUUCCACUUUUCACGACAACCUGGCGGCGCGAUCCCUUGAAAAUUUCACGUUCUGAUAGUAUGGCGCCUACCUUAGCCAUAUGUAGUUCUGCAUCCGCGAAUCCACGUACGUACUCGCGCGGCGUAUCGUGGAGUCCAGCUGUUUUCGACUGCUGGUACGGAGCCGAUCAGCUGGAUUUUAUGCAGCAUCUACGAAGUAAGUCGAAACGCAUCCACGGUUCACGGGCUCUCGCUCAGGUUCCGUCAUGGUCAACGUUGUCAAAGCCGUAUGGAGCAGGGGGAGCGUCAUUCGGCGACUUGUCUGCUAGUGCUGCGGCGCAGCGGCCUGCUCAAUGGUGACGUAGUCAUCCUCUGGCUCACUCCUGCGACGCUCAGUGGGGUCGUCCUUACGGCGGCUUCGACUGUAUACCCAAGUCAUAAUAAGGGGUUGUCGUAAGAGGUUACGACUCUUACGGUUGAAACGUUUGCGUUUCAUCUAGUGGUUGUGAGCCGUUGGAUUGACCAGCUCACAACUGCGACCUUAGUUCCGGUUCAUCAAAGAUAUGGAGUGGGGAUGGUUUGUAUUGCCCUACGAAUCGCAAUAUUGCCAUUCUUGCCGUCGAGGAUGACCUGCCUUGGUUGGAUUGCCAGAUCUGCCUGCGAUCCAACCACACGCACAGUAAGUGGUGCACUCUAGGUUUCGCAUCACUUGCUUGCGUGAAAUGUCACGUGAGUUUUUUUGAGAGAAAUUGCAAACCUGAAAGGCUGACCUGGUUUUGUUGCUUCGGUCAACUUGCCAGGCAGGUGAGCGUGUGUGUAGCGAGUAUGGUGAUCUGGACUGCGUACGAUGUCUGGUUGCGGAUAAUUGAAGUUGUAUUUUUAAAUAAAAUUUUAAUGACAAAUCAUCGAGGAGGAAUGAAUUUGUGAAAUUUUAAAGUUAAAACAUCGUUGAAAUUAACGCGAUUCUGUAAUUUGGGUAAAUUCACGUUGGAAAAAAUUCUAGAAAAAUGAAUUUUUGAUAUAAUUUUACUAAAAUGUGAUAUCUGUUUUGUUUUGGAUUUGGAGAAAAUUGGGUCCUGUACCAUGGUGUGUAUUUUUGUGUGAUACUACACCCCACCUGCCCCUUAUUUUGUUUUUUGCUUCAUUUUUAACCAAUACCGAAGUAGUUUUGAAUUAGAUACAAAAAUAUUCAGAAAAAUAUUAUUUCCAAUCAUUCCCUUCACCCCCACCCACGUUUUGCGAAUUUAUUUUGUUAUUGUUGAAAAUGUUAGAAAGUAAGGUUUGUGUUUUCAUAUUUUGUUAUGUUAUAGGUAAUAAUAUUUUGUUGAUGUUUGUAUAAUUUAAUGAUCAUGUAUUUGUGUUUAUUUACUUAAGGUUAACCUUGCAACUGUUUUGUAAUGAUCGCGAUCAAUUUGAUAUUCAAUUGUAUUUGUAUGUACCUCACUUAUGGCCAAUCAUGCUACUGUUUUGUAAUGAUCGAUCAAGGUUUUUCACGUCGAGCGGCCGGCGUGUUUUUUAGCCCAGAUCGAUCAGAAUUAGUGCUCCUUUCUUUUUUGUCUGCCGCUAGUUUGA